rnacentral:tRNA from 1 species
GGUCCCGUGGCCGAGUGGUUAGGUAGAGGUCUGCAAAACCUCCUACGGCGGUUCGAGUCCGCUCGGGACCU